UAUGGCGGGAACUCUAAGGAGACUGCCGGUGAUAAACCCGAGGAAGGUGGGGACGACGUCAAGUCAUCAUGGCCCUUACGGGAUGGGCUACACACGUGCUACAAUGGCAAGUACAGAGGGCAGCAAUACCGCGAGGUGGAGCGAAUCCCACAAAGCUUGUCGUAGUCCGGAUUGGAGUCUGCAACUCGACUCCAUGAAGUCGGAAUCGCUAGUAAUCGUAGAUCAGAAUGCUACGGUGAAUACGUUCCCGGGCCUUGUACACACCGCCCGUCACACCAUGGGAGUGGGAUGCAAAAGAAGUGGCUAAGUUUAACCUUCGGGAGGACGGUCACCACUUUGUGUUUCAUGACUGGGGUGAAGUCGUAACAAGGU
rnacentral:rRNA from 1 species